rnacentral:rRNA from 1 species
GACGAACGCUGGCGGCGUGCCUAAUACAUGCAAGUAGAACGCUGAAGCUUGGUGCUUGCACCGAGCGGAUGAGUUGCGAACGGGUGAGUAACGCGUAGGUAACCUGCCUGGUAGCGGGGGAUAACUAUUGGAAACGAUAGCUAAUACCGCAUAAGAGUAGAUGUUGCAUGACAUUUGCUUAAAAGGUGCAAUUGCAACACUACCAGAUGGACCUGCGUUGUAUUAGCUAGUUGGUGAGGUAACGGCUCACCAAGGCAACGAUACAUAGCCGACCUGAGAGGGUGAUCGGCCACACUGGGACUGAGACACGGCCCAGACUCCUACGGGAGGCAGCAGUAGGGAAUCUUCGGCAAUGGACGGAAGUCUGACCGAGCAACGCCGCGUGAGUGAAGAAGGUUUUCGGAUCGUAAAGCUCUGUUGUAAGAGAAGAACGAGUGUGAGAGUGGAAAGUUCACACUGUGA